UCAGAAUGCUACUCGACACUGCC
rnacentral:siRNA from 1 species